rnacentral:lncRNA from 1 species
UGGGGAUGACUAUGGGGAUGACUAUGGGGAUGGCCAUGGGGAUGACUAUGGGGUGGCCAUGGGGAUGACUAUGGGGUGGCCAUGGGGGCAACCACGGGGAUGACUAUGGGGGCAACCAUGGGGUGGCCAUGGGGAUGACUAUGGGGUGGCCAUGGGGCGGCCAUGGGGAUGACUAUGGGGUGGCCAUGGGGCGGCUAUAGGGUGGCCAUGGGGAUGACUAUGGGGAUGGCUAUGGGGUGGCCAUGGGGAUGGCUAUGGGGACAGCCAUGAUGGUGGCUAUAGGGUCUAUGAGGCGGUAAUGGUGUGGCUACGGGGUGGCCAUGGGGGCCACGAGGUGGCAAUGGGGGCGGCUAUGGGGCAGCUAUGGGGCAGCCAUGGGGCAGCCAUGGGGCGGCCGCCGUCCGCACCUCGCUUGAUCCAGACGUGGUGGCGGAAGCGGGGCGGCAUGCUGGCCAGGAAGCGGCAGCCCUCGGCCGUCUCCACCUCGUGCAGGUUGUUCCCGGGGCUGCCCAGCACCUGCGCGGCCAGCGCCGAAUGCGGGACCCCAAAAUCACACCGGGACCCCGUUGUACCCACAGAGACCCCAAAAUCCCCAUAUGGACCACAAAAUCCCAUAGAGAUCCCAUUGUACCCAUAGAGACCCCUAAAUCCCACGGGAACCCCGUUGUACCCACAGAGACCCCAAAAUCCCCAUAUGGACCCCAAUGACCCCAUAGAGACCCCAAUGUACCCAUAGAGACCCCGAAAAUCCCACGGGGACCCCAUUGUCCCCAUAGAGACCCCAAAAUCCCACGGGGACCCCAUUGUACCCAUAGAGACCCCAUUGUCCCCAUAUGGACCCCAAUGACCCCAUAGAGACCCCAAUGUACCCAUAGAGACCCCCAAAAUCCCAUGGGGACCCCAUUGUACCCACAGGAAACCCACCAUCCCCAUACAGACCCCAAAAUCCCACAGGGACCCCAUUGUCCCCACAGAGACCCCAAUGUACCCAUAGAGACACCAAUGACCCCAUAGAGACCCCGAAAAUCCCACGGGGACCCCAUUGUCCCCAUAGAGAUCCCAAAAUCCCCAUAUGGACCCCAAUGACUCCAUAGAGACCCCAUUGUACCCAUACAGACCCCAAAAUCCCCGUAUGGACCCCAAUGAGCCCAUAGAGACCCCAUUGUCCCCAUAGAGACCCCAAUGACCCCAUAGAGACCCCAAAAUCCCACGGGGACCCCAUUGUACCCAUACAGACCCCAAAAUCCCCAUAUGGACCCCAAUGACCCCAUAGAGACCCCAUUGUCCCUGUAGAGACCCCAAAAUCCCAUGGGGACCCCAUUGUCCCCAUACAGACCCCAAAAUCCCACGGGGACCCCAUUGUCCCCACAGAGACCCCAAAACCCCCAUGUGGACCCAAAUGACCCCAUAGUCCCCAUAGAGACCCCAAAAUCCCACAGGGACCCUGCUGCACCCACAGGAAACCCACAAUCCCCAUAGAGACCCCAAAACCCCAUGGGGCCCCACUGUACGCACAGAAACCCCACAAUCCCCACAAAGACCCCAUAACCCCAUAGAAACCCCAUAUCAGCCUUAUUGCUCCUAUAGAGACCCCAUAAAGACCGCACAGAGACCCCACAGAGACCCUAUUAGCCCCAUAGAGACCCCACUGCCCCCAUACAGACCCCAUAGAGAUUUCAUGCCGACCCUAUUGCCCCCAUACAGACCC